UAUCGACUAACAACAAAUAAAGAUAAAAUAUUUCAAUCUGCUAUUGCUGUACCGUCCGCGCUCUGCAUGUCAGUCACGCCAUUCGUUUCUUGUGUUAUUUUGUGCGCAAUUGUUACCAGUAUUGUAUUUUUAUUUUUUAUCAAAUUUCAUUAAAUAUUUAAUUUAAUUUCGUCACAAAAAUGCCUAAGAAAUUUACAUGUGUUUUAGUUAAAAAGUAUAUUACAGAAUUUGGGUCAGAUGUUUUUUCAGCAUACUAUAAUGUGCUGUUUUGUAAUUAUUGUGAAACGAAAGUGAGCGUGGAUAAAAGGUUUAUUGUCACCCAACAUCUUAAGACGGAAAAACAAAUGGGCAGCUAAGGGUAUUAAAAAUCGCCCAGGUACAAGUAAAAUGCACAACAAUUUAUAACGGACACAAGAAAAAAGUUUAUAUUUAGUCACAAUCUUUAUGAAGCUUUGAUGUCAGCUAAUAUACCUUUGAAUAAAUUAUCAAAUCCAUAUUUUAAAGAAUUUCUAUCGAAGUGCACUGAUAAAGAUAUUCAUUCUGAGUCAACGUUACAAAAAGGUUAUGUUGAUGAAAUUUAUGAAAAUAAAAUUAAGGAUAAUGUUCAAAAUAAAUGUAUUAGUGUAUCAACAGAUGAAAUUACCGAUGUCAUAGGUAGAUGAUAUGUAGCCAAUGUUGUUAUUGGCAUUUUAAAUGAAACUAGAAGUAGUAUGAUUUUUCUUUUACAUUCCGAGUAGCUGGAAAAAUGUAAUCAUUCCCAAAGGCGGACUGGGAAACAAUCGACCCAGGGACAAUAGUCAAAGUAACCAGACCUAUUCUUGUUUAUUCAUACGAUAAACGUAUAAAUGUAAUUUUAUACUUAUAUAAGUCACCUAAACUCAACUAAUUAUAACAUUAAUAAAAUUUAAAAUAUAUUUGUUUAACACUUUGAUAAAAAUUAUUUCUUUAGAUAUAAAGACAUACUUUUCUACACUUAUUUCUACUGUAACAUCUUAAAAUAUUUUUAAAAAGUUUCGAGCAUUUUCCAACAUAACUCAAUUCUGUGGACUUAAACAAACUACCUCUGAAUUAUUUAAAAAUGCUAGAGUUGUAAUUAUUGGAUCUUAUAUAGAAAUUAUGCGAUCAAUCAUGUCAUAAGUUGAAUUCCAAUGGGUUGGACAAUCUUGCUUUAGUUUUAAAAGAGGCAAACCAGUUUGUUAUUGAUGUUAUUGAAAAUUAUGUAAUUUUACUAAAGUGUGUGAACUCUUCUUAAAAAAUUGAACUAUUGCUUUAACUUUAUAUAUUAUGGGCUCAAUAGAAUUCAAACUUGAUUGAACUACUAAAUUGAUCGAGUGAGCAAAACAAGAUAAAUAUCGCUGCUUUAAUAUUUGCUGCAUAGUCACUUACUACUCCAGUUAGUUUACAAGACGAAUUCCAAUCAUCAACCCUAUUUCUCAAGUACCGAGCCAAGUUGCUUGCUUAUAUGAUCAAUAAAAUGAGCUGUUACUGCUAUGAAACUUUCAUUAUUGAUAGACAUCCAGCAAACAGACAUAGUGCCGUUACAUUGUUAUUUUUUGUCUUUGACGCAUUCAAGGGUCAUUUCGUACAUCUGUGGUAAUAAAUUCUGUGUUACGGUUUUUAUAGAUGGAAUGGAAUAGGAUGGGCACAUGUUAAUCAACUUUCGGAACUCUUUAUCCUCUACAAUGCUAAAAGGUUAUUUAUAGAUGCCUGCUGUUUAGAAAUAUGACUUAAAUCUUUUUAUACUGGUGCUGCAGUUAAAUGAUUGUUAUGUGACAUAGAUGAUGAUGGUUAUGAAUCAUUGAGUACCUCAAAAUUUGGGAUACACAUCUUAUAAUUUAAAAAAUAUUG